rnacentral:snRNA from 1 species
AUCGCUUCUCGGCCUUUUGGCUAAGAUCAAGUGUAGUAUCUGUGCAAACCCUUCUGGCAAAGCAGCAGAGGGAGCUCAUGGCUGGCUGAGUCUGACCGUGAGCUCCGGAAGUUUAUCCAGUGGCACAUCUUGGGAGCGUUGUUCACCUGGA